rnacentral:rRNA from 1 species
UACGGAGGGGGUUAGCGUUGUUCGGAAUACUGGGCGUAAAGCGCGCGUAGGCGGAUUAGUCAGUUAGAGGUGAAAUCCCCAGGGCUCAACCCUGGAACUGCCUUUAAUACUGCUAGUCUUGAGUUCGAGAGAGGUGAGUGGAAUUCCGAGUGUAGAGGUGAAAUUCGUAGAUAUUCGGAGGAACACCAGUGGCGAAGGCGGCUCACUGGCUCGAUACUGACGCUGAGGUGCGAAAAGUUGUGGGGGAGCAAACAGGAUUAGAUACCCGGUAGUCC